GACCCGUUUCCGUUGACCACAAUGGAGGAAGUGGACAUGUUUGAGCAACAGCUCAAAGAUCCAGCCAACGCUUUAAUGAAGAAGAGUGUGAUUUCCUCCCUGGGAACAAUCGGAGGACAUGAUGUAAAACGUGCAACGUGGAACAUCCUCGCACGCAUGUUCACUGAUGAUGUUGGCAAGUCCAUAAAUUGGAAAGGGAUUAAUGGAAAAAAAUCUUUCAAUCUAAUGACGUCCAAGACUUUGCUCCUGCGUGAAUGUUACUCAACUAUACCUUUACAUAAUAGUUAUAUGAUAUAUUAGCUCUAUGGAGUGGAGAUGGUCAGCUGCUUCAGGUUCCUCGGGGUCAACAUCAGCAACGACCUCACCUGGUCUGCUCACACAGACAAGGUGGUCAAAGCGGCCCGGAAGCGCCUCUUCUUCCUGAGGAGACUGAAGCAGUUUGGCAUGGAUUCAGUCAUCCUCACCAAUGUCUCCAGAUGCCCAAUAGAAAGCAUCCUGACUGGGUGCAUCACAGUGUGGGAGCUGCACAGCCAAGGACCGCAAGGCCCGACGUCGUGUGGUCAGGACUGCGGAGUUCAUCAUCGAUGCUGUCAGAAAGAAUCACUCAACACAUG